rnacentral:rRNA from 1 species
GAGCGUUCUGUAAGCCUGUGAAGGUGAGUUGAGAAGCUUGCUGGAGGUAUCAGAAGUGCGAAUGCUGACAUGAGUAACGAUAAUGGGUGUGAAAAACACCCACGCCGAAAGACCAAGGUUUCCUGCGCAACGUUAAUCGACGCAGGGUUAGUCGGUCCCUAAGGCGAGGCUGAAAAGCGUAGUCGAUGGAAAACAGGUUAAUAUUCCUGUACUUCUGGUUAUUGCGAUGGAGGGACGGAGAAGGCUAGGCCAGCUUGGCGUUGGUUGUCCAAGUUUAAGGUGGUAGG